rnacentral:rRNA from 1 species
AACCUGCCUGGUAGCGGGGGAUAACUAUUGGAAACGAUAGCUAAUACCGCAUAACAGUAGAUGUUGCAUGACAUUUGCUUAAAAGGUGCAAUUGCAUCACUACCAGAUGGACCUGCGUUGUAUUAGCUAGUUGGUGGGGUAACGGCUCACCAAGGCGACGAUCCCUAGCUGGUCUGAGAGGAUGACCAGCCACACUGGAACUGAGACACGGUCCAG